GUCGUCCGGAGAUACUUUUGCAUGGCUCUGGCCAUUGAGGCAAAGAUAGCCUGAGCAGCCUCCCUGGGGUCCAUGAUCUCACGCGGGUUUUUCUGGUCCUCUUCCUGCAACCUCUUGAUAUCCCUCUACUUCAUUUGGGACUCAACUGGAACAUCAAUGGAGUGAACAAGGUUCCAGUGUAUGCGAGAUCUGAACGGCAGACCUCUAUACCCAUCUCCGUGCCCUCUCAGUAGACAUCUACCCUAAGAAACUCUGCAUCAAGGUGACAUUUUACAAGUAGAGAUUUAUCCUAAAUUCCUUGGAUUUGCUCGUUGCCAUUAAGAAUUGUUGUGAGAAGGACACCUAUCAAUGCCGAGAUUAUCAUCGAGAGAUGUACGUGAUGAAGCUGCAGUUGGACUACAUGGCGACACUGGUCAUGCGGUACAGAUUCGGCCUUGGUUUGGAUGGUGCCCUGGCAAUACCUUCUAAUGAUGCCCUACUUUAUGGUAUAUUAUGUAGUGCCAAAAUACUACAUUGAUAUGAGUUUAUAACAAGCCAUACAGUGCCCAAAUAACACUGGCAUACAGUUUGCUAAGUUUCAUU